rnacentral:rRNA from 1 species
AAUCAACGCUGGCGGCGCGCCUAACACAUGCAAGUCGAACGAGAAAGGGGAGCAAUCCCUGAGUACAGUGGCGUACGGGUGAGUAACACGUGGAUGAUCUACCUUCUGGUGAGGAAUAACCAUGGGAAACUGUGGAUAAUACCGCAUAAGCUCGAGAGAGGAAAGCAGCAAUGCGCCGGAAGAGGAGUCCGCGGCCGAUUAGCUAGUUGGCAGGGUAAAAGCCUACCAAGGCAAAGAUCGGUAGCCGGCCUGAGAGGGCACACGGCCACACUGGCACUGAAACACGGGCCAGACUCCUACGGGAGGCAGCAGUGGGGAAUCUUGCACAAUGGGGGAAACCCUGAUGCAGCGACGCCGCGUGAGCGAUGAAGCCCUUCGGGGUGUAAAGCUCUUUCGGCAGGGAAGAUAAUGACGGUACCUGCAGAAGCAGCUGCGGCUAACUACGUGCCAGCAGCCGCGGUAAUACGUAGGCAGCGAGCGUUGUUCGGAGUUACUGGGCGUAAAGGGUGUGUAGGCGGUUGUUUAAGUUUGGUGUGAAAUCUCCCGGCUCAACUGGGAGGGUGCGCCGAAUACUGAAUGACUAGAGUGCGGGAGAGGAAAGUGGAAUUCCUGGUGUAGCGGUGAAAUGCGUAGAUAUCAGGAGGAACACCGGUGGUGUAGACGGCUUUCUGGACCGUAACUGACGCUGAGACACGAAAGCGUGGGUAGCAAACAGGAUUAGAUACCCUGGUAGUCCACGCCCUAAACGAUGCAUAUUUGGUGUGGGCAGUUCAGUCUGUCCGUGCCGGAGCUAACGCGUUAAAUAUGCCGCCUGGGGAGUACAGUCGCAAGGCUG